rnacentral:lncRNA from 1 species
CACCCAUCCCCUCUACCUCCUGCCCAGGGGCCUCUGGUGCUUAUCAUGUUUUUUAAUUCUUCUGUGAAAAUCACUAGCUCCUUUAUUUUUAUUGUUCUCAGUACCAUGAUUUGUUUAUCUGUUCACCAGCUGAUGAACAUUUGGGUUGUUUCUGGGUUUGGGUUAUUACAAACAAAGUUGCUGUCAAUAUUCAUACGCUGUUGUUUUGUAGACAUAUUCUUUUAUUGCUCUUGGAUAAAAACAUGGGCGAUUGCUGAGUUUUAUGGUAAAUAUUAUGUUUAACUUCUAAGAAAUUGCUAAAUUGCUCUCCAAAAUGGCUAUCCAAUACUUCCUACUAGCAGUGCCUGAGAUAUCCAGUUUCACAUUGUCCAUAGUACUUGGCUUUUUUAAAAAGCCUUAGCCAUUCUGGUGGGUGGCAUCUCAUAGAGUUUGAUCACAUUUCCCUGGUGAUUAAUGAUGCUGGGAAUCUUUUCAUGUGUUUAUUUGUCAUUUGUAUAUUUUCUUUGGUAAAGUAUCUAUUUAAAUAAAUUGAAUUGCUUCUCGUUAUUGUUACUACAUUGUAAGAGCUUUUAAUUAAUGUAUUUUGGAUAUAAGUCCUUUAUC